AGUAAUCCACCUGGGGAGUACGACCGCAAGGUUGAAACUCAAAGGAAUUGACGGGGGCCCGCACAAGCAGUGGAGUAUGUGGUUUAAUUCGACGCAACGCGAAGAACCUUACCAAGUCUUGACAUCCUGCGACAGACAUAGAAAUAUGUUUUUCCUUCGGGACGCAGAGACAGGUGGUGCAUGGUUGUCGUCAGCUCGUGUCGUGAGAUGUUGGGUUAAGUCCCGCAACGAGCGCAACCCUUAUGGUCAGUUACUACGCAAGAGGACUCUGGCCAGACUGCCGUUGACAAAACGGAGGAAGGUGGGGAUGACGUCAAAUCAUCAUGCCCUUUAUGACUUGGGCUACACACGUACUACAAUGGCGUUAAACAAAGAGAAGCAAGACCGCGAGGUGGAGCAAAACUCAGAAACAACGUCCCAGUUCGGACUGCAGGCUGCAACUCGCCUGCACGAAGUCGGAAUUGCUAGUAAUCGUGGAUCAGCAUGCCACGGUGAAUACGUUCCCGGGCCUUGUACACACCGCCCGUCACACCAUGAGAGCCGGGGGGACCCGAAGUCGGUAGUCUAACCGCAAGGAGGACGCCGCCGAAGGUAAAACUGGUGAUUGGGGUGAAGUCGUAACAAGGUAGCCGUAGGAGAACCUGCGGCUGGAUCACCUCCUUU
rnacentral:rRNA from 1 species